UGGGAUGUAGCUCAGUUGGUAGAGUGCUUCCCUCACAUGCACAAGGCCCUGGGUUCAAUCCCCAGCACCACAA
rfam:Ictidomys tridecemlineatus contig029602, whole genome shotgun sequence.